GAUGAACGCUGGCGGCGUGCCUAAUACAUGCAAGUCGAGCGCAAAGAUCAGGAGCUUGCUCCUGUGAUUUGAGCGGCGGACGGGUGAGUAACACGUAGGCAACCUACCCUUGAGAUUGGGAUAACUACCGGAAACGGUAGCUAAUACCGGAUACGACCUUUCCACAUAAGUGGAAUUGUUAAAAGGCGGAUCUAUCUGCCGCUCAUGGAUGGGCCUGCGGUGCAUUAGCUAGUUGGUGAGAUAGUAGCUCACCAAGGCGACGAUGCAUAGCCGACCUGAGAGGGUGAUCGGCCACACUGGGACUGAGACACGGCCCAGACUCCUACGGGAGGCAGCAGUAGGGAAUCUUCCGCAAUGGACGAAAGUCUGACGGAGCAACGCCGCGUGAGUGAUGAAGGGUUUCGGCUCGUAAAACUCUGUUGUUAAGGAAGAAUACUUGAGGUAGUAACUGGCCUUGAGAUGACGGUACUUAACCAGAAAGCCACGGCUAACUACGUGCCAGCAGCCGCGGUAAUACGUAGGUGGCAAGCGUUAUCCGGAAUUAUUGGGCGUAAAGCGCGCGUAGGCGGUAAAAUAAGUCUGAUGUGAAAGCCCCCGGCUCAACCGGGGAGGGUCAUUGGAAACUGUUUUACUUGAGUACAGAAGAGGAGAGUGGAAUUCCAUGUGUAGCGGUGAAAUGCGCAGAGAUAUGGAGGAACACCAGUGGCGAAGGCGGCUCUCUGGUCUGUUACUGACGCUGAGGUGCGAAAGCGUGGGGAUCAAACAGGAUUAGAUACCCUGGUAGUCCACGCCGUAAACGAUGAGUGCUAAGUGUUGGGGGGUUUCCGCCCCUCAGUGCUGCAGCUAACGCAUUAAGCACUCCGCCUGGGG
rnacentral:rRNA from 1 species